AGGAAUAUUGGUCAAUGGGCGCAAGCCUGAACCAGCCAUGCCGCGUGCAGGAAGACGGCUCUAUGAGUUGUAAACUGCUUUUGUACUAGGGUAAUUUGCGGUACGUGUACCGUAUUGAAAGUAUAGUACGAAUAAGGAUCGGCUAACUCCGUGCCAGCAGCCGCGGUAAUACGGAGGAUGCGAGCGUUAUCCGGAUUUAUUGGGUUUAAAGGGUGCGUAGGCGGGCUUUUAAGUCAGCGGUAAAAAUUCGGGGCUCAACCCCGUCCGGCCGUUGAAACUGGGGGCCUUGAGUGGGCGAGAAGAAGGCGGAAUGCGUGGUGUAGCGGUGAAAUGCAUAGAUAUCACGCAGAACCCCGAUUGCGAAGGCAGCCUUCCGGCGCCCUACUGACGCUGAGGCACGAAAGUGCGGGGAUCGAACAG
rnacentral:rRNA from 1 species